rnacentral:tRNA from 1 species
UGUUCUGUGGCUUAGUUGGUUAAAGCGCCGGUCUAGCGAAUACGGAGUCGUGGGUUCAAACCCCACCAGAACGC